UGGGGAAUAUUGCACAAUGGGCGAAAGCCUGAUGCAGCGACGCCGCGUGAGGGAUGACGGCCUUCGGGUUGUAAACCUCUUUCAGUAGGGAAGAAGCCCUCUUUGGGGGUGACGGUACUUGCAGAAGAAGCGCCGGCUAACUACGUGCCAGCAGCCGCGGUAAUACGUAGGGCGCAAGCGUUAUCCGGAAUUAUUGGGCGUAAAGAGCUCGUAGGCGGUUUGUCGCGUCUGCUGUGAAAGACCGGGGCUCAACUCCGGUUCUGCAGUGGGUACGGGCAGAGUAGAGUGCAGUAGGGGAGACUGGAAUUCCUGGUGUGACGGUGAAAUGCGCAGAUAUCAGGAGGAACACCGAUGGCGAAGGCAGGUCUCUGGGCUGUAACUGACGCUGAGGAGCGAAAGCAUGGGGAGCGAACAGG
rnacentral:rRNA from 1 species